AACUUUCAGCAACGGAUCUCUUGGUUCUGGCAUCGAUGAAGAACGCAG
rnacentral:rRNA from 1 species